CCUGAAAAGGUUCAAAUUUGUGAGCUGGAAGCCUCUCAUUUAUGGAACAAACAUGCAUACGGUUAGGCAGAAUUCAUGCAUCUAAAGAGUGACAUCUAUUACAUCAAAGCAUGUGUGUGUGUGUGUGUGUGUGUGUAUUAUUAGUGAAAGUGCCUAUGAAAUGUUUGGCAGCACCUUGGCUUGCCUAACUCCUUCCAUUUUAGAGGAGUCAAAAGUAUAAACUUUAACUAAAAGACGAAGGUAGGCUUUCAUUGCAGUGAGAUAGGAAUUAUAUAUACCAUGCUUGAGUUACAAUCCAUAGACAUGGAGCCAUAUUUUGGACGUGGCAAUCACAUUUGCCAAUAACAAGUAGCAAUGCCUUUUGCAUGGUGUGUUUGAGUGUUAUGGGUUCUGGCUUGGCUUUAGGCUUACCUAUUUUCUUUUGACUCUUGAAUGGUUUACAGGCAAGUGUUAAUCUCUCUCCCUUCCCAAUUUCUAUUGCUUCCUAUCAGUCUCAAAACCAUGAUUUUGACCAGCAUAAUUCAAAUUGAGUUCCUGUUUUUUCCGGCUCAGGACCUAAUGCAGAAGAUGGGUCAGAUUCUAAGGUAAAAAGAAACCAUACCUCACAGAACAGGCCUCUGAUUCUUCAGUGAUGCAAGGCGGUGAAAAUCCAGCUACUUUCAGCGAGCAACCUUGGAGGAACAGGAUUAAGGAAUGGAAGAAGAGGCUUUACGUAUGUAUAAAGUGAUGAAAGGGAAGGAGAGAAGCUGAAGGAGAUUAAAUACAAAUGUACAACAAAAAAAGAAGCCAAGGCUGUUUGUUUGACUCACACUCGACAAUCCAGUUAGGACAAACAAAGGGUAGCCUCAAAAUACUUGCUAGGAAUGGAUUUAUUCUUCACAGCUUCCUAAAAAAACUCGCUGUUUUUGAGAGAAAUGGUAAUGGCAUUGACUGAUAACUUAGAAACAUAGACUUUUCGUUUCCUUUUUUUAGUUAGGCGUUACGUUGAUUGUUGACUACACCUUUUGUUGGAUAAUUUCUCCUAUUCUUGUAAGAUUAUCAGGACUUGAGUUCCAGAGGGUGCAGGCAACAACAAGAAAAGAUUAUUUGUUGAAUUCAUUUGUUGAAGCAUCAUUCACUAAUUACUAUUGGAAUUAGAUACAU